AACGAACGCUGGCGGCAUGCCUAACACAUGCAAGUCGAACGAGACCUUCGGGUCUAGUGGCGCACGGGUGCGUAACGCGUGGGAACCUACCUUUAGGUUCGGAAUAACUCAGAGAAAUUUGAGCUAAUACCGGAUGAUGUCUUCGGACCAAAGAUUUAUCGCCUUUAGAUGGGCCCGCGUUGGAUUAGCUAGUUGGUGGGGUAAAGGCCUACCAAGGCGACGAUCCAUAGCUGGUCUGAGAGGAUGAUCAGCCACACUGGGACUGAGACACGGCCCAGACUCCUACGGGAGGCAGCAGUGGGGAAUAUUGGACAAUGGGCGAAAGCCUGAUCCAGCAAUGCCGCGUGAGUGAUGAAGGCCUUAGGGUUGUAAAGCUCUUUUACCCGAGAUGAUAAUGACAGUAUCGGGAGAAUAAGCUCCGGCUAACUCCGUG
rnacentral:rRNA from 1 species